GACCACGUAGCUCAGUUGGCAGAGCAUGGGACUAGUAUCCCAAAGGUCGCGGGUUCGAUUCCCACCGUGGCCA
rnacentral:tRNA from 1 species